rnacentral:rRNA from 1 species
AUUCCAAUCGAACCCGGAGAUAGCUGGUUCUCCCCGAAAUAGCUUUAGGGCUAGCCUGAGGUAGUAAGUAUAGGCGGUAGAGCACUGAUCGGGCUAGGGGCCGUAAAGGUUACCGAACCCUGUCAAACUCCGAAUGGAUAUACUGUAGAGCCUUGGAGUCAGACUACGAGUGAUAAGAUCCGUGGUCAAAAGGGAAACAGCCCAGACCACCAGCUAAGGUCCCCAAUGUCGUACUAAGUGGAAAAGGAUGUGGGGUUUCAUAAACAACCAGGAUGUUGGCUCAGAAGCAGCCACCAUUUAAAGAGUGCGUAAUAGCUCACUGGUCGAGAGACCCUGCGCCGAAGAUUCCCGGGGCUAAAGUACGAAACCGAAGCUGUGGCUGUAUACGUAAAGUAUACGGGGUAGGGGAGCGUUCCCAUAGGGUAGAAGUCGAACUGGAAGGUUCGGUGGACUUGUGGGAAGUGAGAAUGUUGGUAUGAGUAGCGAAAAGAAAGGUGAGAAUCCUUUCCACCGAAAGCAUAAGGAUUCCUGAGCAACGAUCGUCGUCUCAGGGUAAGUCGGGACCUAAUCCGAGGCAGAGAGCGUAGGAGAUGGACAACUGGUUGAUAUUCCAGUACCGGUAGUAAUUGUUUGAGCAAUGGAGUGACACAGAAGGGCAGGCAAGCAUGCGAAUGGAAGAGCAUGUGUAAGCGUGUAGGGUGGUGCAUAGGCAAAUCCGUGCACUGAAAGCCUGAGGCGUGAUGCGGAGUGAGCAGAGAUGCGAGCGAAGUUGUUGACCCCACACUGUCGAGAAAAGCUUCUAGUGAGAGAGCUACCGCCCGUACCGUAAACCGACACAGGUAUGCGGGGAGAGAAUCCUAAGGUGCGCGGGAGAACCCUCGUUAAGGAACUCGGCAAAAUGUACCCGUAACUUCGGGAUAAGGGUAGCCACUGUUGUGAAGUCCCAUGCGGAUGGAGCAUAGAGUGGUCGCAGAGAAGAGGCCCAAGCGACUGUUUACCAUAAACACAGGUGCCUGCUAAAGCGAAAGCUGACGUAUAGGUGCUGACACCUGCCCAGUGCCGGAAGGUUAAGGAAGGAUGUUCGGAGUAAUCCAAAGCAUUCGACUGAAGCCCCGGUGAACGGCGGCCGUAACUAUAACGGUCCUAAGGUAGCGAAAUUCCUUGUCGGGUAAG